rnacentral:rRNA from 1 species
CCUACGGGGGGCAGCAGUGGGGAAUAUUGGACAGUGGGGGGAACCCUGAUCCAGCCAUGCCGCGUGUGUGAAGAAGGCCCUCGGGUUGUAAAGCACUUUCAGUGAGGAAGAACGCCUGGUGGUUAAUACCCAUCAGGAAAGACAUCACUCACAGAAGAAGCACCGGCUAACUCCGUGCCAGCAGCCGCGGUAAUACGGAGGGUGCGAGCGUUAAUCGGAAUUACUGGGCGUAAAGCGCGCGUAGGUGGCUUGAUAAGCCGGUUGUGAAAGCCCCGGGCUCAACCUGGGAACGGCAUCCGGAACUGUCAAGCUAGAGUGCAGGAGAGGAAGGUAGAAUUCCCGGUGUAGCGGUGAAAUGCGUAGAGAUCGGGAGGAAUACCAGUGGCGAAGGCGGCCUUCUGGACUGACACUGACACUGAGGUGCGAAAGCGUGGGUAGCAAACAGGAUUAGAUACCCCGGUAGUC